UAUCAGGUGGACAAAAGCAGCGAGUCAGUCUAGCUGGUGUCUUGAUUGAUGAGAGUCCGAUUCUCUUGUUUGAUGA
rnacentral:tRNA from 1 species